GCCUGGAGCCCCUCACCAGGUGCCCUGAGCUGCGGUGGCUCACCCUGUCCGGCGGCGUCCCUGACACCGUGCUGGACAGUCUCAGCGGCUGUCCCAGGCUGUACAGGCUUACACUGGGGGACCGCCAGCGGCCGGCAGAGACGGCCUUCACAGCAGCAGCGGUCACCAGACUGGUGAAGUCGUGUCGGAAGCUGGACAGACUGAACCUUCACUGCACGGCAGACACCACCCGGGCCUUGCUGACCGCCCUGAAGGAGGCGGACCUGCAGUACAGUGAUGGCGAGCCCCGUACCAUCGAUCUCUUUGUCCCCGAGGAGCUGUACUGUCAGCUGGAGAGCCAGCAAGGCGAUGGGGUCAGAGUGUUUCUGUGGUAGUAUUGAUGCGCUGCACUACCGACCGUGCAGUGAUGAGCUGACUGCAGAGAGGUCGAGCCAGUCGGCCGGGGCCGCCAGCUGACUGCUGCCGUGUGUGCUGCACCAGCCGGCACUGAGAGCGGCGCCGGUCAGCCGGCACACGGCCCCGGUGUCCGCUCUAGUGUAGUCAUGUAGUUGUAGUAGUAGUAGUGUAGAUGUAGGAGUAGCACACGGAUGUGAUGCAUUGGGUAAUUACAGGGCGGGUAAUGUGGGUAAUUGGACAGUGAAAGGUGAUGUAGUGGGUAAUUACCAGGUGGGUAUUGUGGGUAAUUGGCUGGAACGAUUUGAUCUAGCGGGUAAUAACCGGGUGGGUGUUGUGGGUAGUUGGCUGGAAGGAUGUGACCUGGUGGGUAAUUACCGGGCGGAUAUUGUUUGUAAUUGGACAGUGAAAAGUGACCUGGUGGGUAAUUACCGGUUGGGUAUUGUGGGUAAUUGGACAGUGAAAAGUGAUGUGCUGGAGAGACUACCGAUCGUAGCAUUACGCUAUUCUGUAUGUAGAACACACGUCUCUGACCGUCCGACUCGGUUCACCGCGCCUGGUCCCGGCGGCACGGCCGGCCUCGGUCACGUGACCGCCCCCCGGUGGAGUCGGACGGCUCGGUCACGUGACCGCUCCCCCCCGGGUCUGGCUGCACCUCGGCUCGGCGGUGCUGAGCGCCGUGCAGAGCGUGUUGUGACACGUCCCACACGGACAGCUCUACUCGACUACUGGCUAGCUGCCGUCCGAGCUGGCAGUAUACACGCGGUGCCAGUUCAGACGGCGGCCGGCCGCGCCGCGCCCGCCCGCUCCGGUCCCGGCCGGCGGCCGUCACCCGGCCCGGGGCGGUGACCGGUCCG